rnacentral:rRNA from 1 species
ACGAACGCUGGCGGCGCGCCUAACACAUGCAAGUCGAACGAGAGAUGAAGAGCUUGCUCUUCAGAUCGAGUGGCGAACGGGUGAGUAACGCGUGAGGAACCUGCCUCGAAGAGGGGACAACAGUUGGAAACGACUGCUAAUACCGCAUAAGCCCACGGCUCGGCAUCGAGCAGAGGGAAAAGGAGUGAUCCGCUUUGAGAUGGCCUCGCGUCCGAUUAGCUAGUUGGUGAGGUAAAGGUUCACCAAGGCGACGAUCGGUAGCUGGUCUGAGAGGACGACCAGCCACACUGGGACUGAGACACGGCCCAGACUCCUACGGGAGGCAGCAGUGGGAAUUUUGGACAAUGGGGGCAACCCUGAUCCAGCCAUGCCGCGUGCAGGAUGAAGGCCUUCGGGUUGUAAACUGCUUUUGUCAGGGACGAAAAGGACCGUGUUAAUACCAUGGUCUGCUGACGGUACCUGAAGAAUAAGCACCGGCUAACUACGUG